UACGGCCAUAUCACAUUGAAACACCGAUUCUCAUAUGAUCUCCGAAGUUAAGCAAUGUCAAGACUGGUGAGUACCUAGAUGGGUGACUACUUGGGAAUACCAGGUGCUGCAAGC